UCCAGACUCCUACGGGAGGCAGCAGUGGGGAAUAUUGCACAAUGGGGGAAACCCUGAUGCAGCAACGCCGCGUGAGUGAAGAAGUAUUUCGGUAUGUAAAGCUCUAUCAGCAGGGAAGAAGAUGACGGUACCUGAGUAAGAAGCCCCGGCUAACUACGUGCCAGCAGCCGCGGUAAUACGAAGGGGGCAAGCGUUAUCCGGAUUUACUGGGUGUAAAGGGAGCGUAGACGGUGAGACAAGUCUGAAGUGAAAGCCCGGGGCUCAACCCCGGGACUGCUUUGGAAACUGCCUGACUGGAGUGCUGGAGAGGCAAGCGGAAUUCCUAGUGUAGCGGUGAAAUGCGUAGAUAUUAGGAAGAACACCAGUGGCGAAGGCGGCUUGCUGGACAGUAACUGACGUUGAGGCUCGAAAGCGUGGGGAGCAAACAGGAUUAGAUACCCCGGUAGGU
rnacentral:rRNA from 1 species